AAGACUAUAGACCUGCGGAGUACCUGCGGAAGGAUCAUUAGUGAACGCCCUCACGGGCUUAUAACUAUUCCAAACCUCUGUGAACCGUGCCCUUCGGGGCUAUUUUACAAACAUGGUGUAAUGAACGUCAUAUAUCAUAACAAAACAAAACUUUCAACAACGGAUCUCU
rnacentral:misc_RNA from 1 species